GGGUAGGCUGGGAGAGCAGCGGGGGUAGUGAGGAGGGGGGGGGUGUUAAUAGGUUGUACUGGGAGGAAAUGGUGCGUAGUGGGCUUUGUAAGGCGGAUGUGAAAGCGCUGAGCUUAACUUAGGAAUUGCAGUCGAUACUGGGAAGCUAGAGUAUGGGAGAGGAUGGGAGAAUUCGAGGUGUAGCGGUGAAAUGCGUAGAGAUCUGGAGGAAUACCGAUGGCGAAGGCAGCCAUCUGGCCUAAUACUGACGCUGAGGUACGAAAGCAUGGGGAGCAAACAGGAUUAGAUACCCUAGUAGUC
rnacentral:rRNA from 1 species